rnacentral:rRNA from 1 species
GCCCAGACUCCUACGGGAGGCAGCAGUGGGGAAUAUUGCACAAUGGGGGAAACCCUGAUGCAGCGACGCCGCGUGAGCGAUGAAGUAUUUCGGUAUGUAAAGCUCUAUCAGCAGGGAAGAAAAUGACGGUACCUGACUAAGAAGCCCCGGCUAACUACGUGCCAGCAGCCGCGGUAAUACGUAGGGGGCAAGCGUUAUCCGGAUUUACUGGGUGUAAAGGGAGCGUAGACGGCAGUGCAAGUCCGGAGUGAAAGCCCGGGGCUCAACCCUGGGACUGCUCUGGAAACUGUAAAGCUGGAGUGCGGGAGGGGCAGGCGGAAUUCCUGGUGUAGCGGUGAAAUGCGUAGAUAUCAGGAGGAACACCGGCGGCGAAGGCGGCCUGCUGGACCGUAACUGACGUUGAGGCUCGAAAGCGUGGGGAGCAAACAGGAUUAGAUACCCUAGUA